rnacentral:rRNA from 1 species
GAUGAACGCUGGCGGCGUGCUUAACACAUGCAAGUCGAACGAGAAAUGUAGACGGAAACCUUCGGGCGGAAGCCUUCAUUUCGAGUGGCGGACGGGUGAGUAACGCGUGGGUAACCUGCCUCAUACAGGGGGAUAACAGUUGGAAACGACUGUUAAUACCGCAUAAGACCACAGCAUCGCAUGAUGCGGGGGUAAAAACUCCGGUGGUAUGAGAUGGACCCGCGUUCGAUUAGCCAGUUGGCGGGGUAACGGCCCACCAAAGCGACGAUCGAUAGCCGAUCUGAGAGGAUGACCGGCCACAUUGGGACUGAGACACGGCCCAAACUCCUACGGGAGACAGCAGUGGGGAAUAUUGCACAAUGGGGGAAACCCUGAUGCAGCGACGCCGCGUGAGUGAAGAAGUACUUCGGUAUGUAAAGCUCUAUCAGCAGGGAAGAAAAUGACGGUACCUGAGUAAGAAGCCCCGGCUAACUACGUG